CUGUUACGUGGCAAAGCCACAAAUGUCAAGGCUCGGGGCACAGAGAAAGUUCUCACCCACCUCUCAGCAUAAGGGGGUUGUAACAGUCAGAAAGAUCAACUCGGUGCAGUGGUGAUACAGGAGGUGUAAUGACAAAGGGACUAGCACGAUGGAAAGGUGUUACAAAGGAAAAGUGCUCACCCAUCUCUAAAGAUCUAGGCUCACAGGGAAAACUCCACAAGGAAGGGAUCUCCAACCAAAGACCCUUCCACAGUGGCAGUCAGAUCUUCAAUGGCAUCUAACAGAGGUGCAGCCAGGCUCCACCCCUUCUGGAUGCACAGUGAGUGAAUGGUGUUUCGUGGAAGAGCUUAGAAAAACCCAGAGAGAGUUGCAAGCAGGCAAGUGAUGGGAAUCCCCACAUCCACUGGCAGAGAUUUUGAAAGAAAAAUGUGAAGGAGCCCUACAAACAUCCUUCUUCAGGACAUAAAUCAGCCUCAAACUAACCCUGCACUCAGCGGAAGCAUUAUUGAUGGGCUGGUUUAGAGUUUCAAAAGUUAAAAGAAAAAACAGAAAAACAUUUGCUCACCGUUUUAAAGACUGCUUUUCAUUUUAUACCCUUAGUCUAAGGCAGAGCCACGGGGCUGGUGCACACGUUCAUUCAGCUGUCCACCCAUCAAUCUGUUCUUCCAUAAAAAUGUUUUGCACAUGUUGGCCAAUUCAACCUUAAUUUUGUACUGCAGCGAUCUCAAAGAACUGCUCUACCAGCAAGUGUCAUGACAGCUGGAUGGAUGAAAGAGAAGGACCAAAAUGAUGUCCAUAAGAAGAAGAAUCAAAUUUAACUCAUGAGCAUUUAAGGACACAAAUCCAUAACAAAAGCACAUCCUAUCCAUUUGACUACUUUUUUUAUUUCCCUUGGGCUGGCUGAGAGACACAGUUGGAAAAUUUCAGGUUGCCUUGAGUGAGGAAAAUGUUCAAAUAAAACCCUGCAAUCUGUUCUACUCCUGAGCGGAACCUUUCAGCAAAACACCUGCAGGACUGGAUGGAGCUGCAGGGCUCAUCCAUCACUGCAGUUCCCAUCUGCUGCCCUCUGCUGUGGCCAUAUCUUGGUUGCCAUCCUUCAUCUCUCAAAGCUAGGUAUUGUCUACAGGAGUAGAAGGCCAAAUUUCAGUCUUAUUCCCAGCACACAUUUCUUACUUUUGUGGUCACUUUGUUGUCCUUUGCUCUUUCACAAUGGCAUGGAGCAACCUGAUCCAUCACACGCAGUGGAGCAAGCCAAGAUGAUGUCUUUGCUACAGCAAGAUGCCAGUGGCCACCUCUCUAUUCCUAUGGUUUUUACCAUGUGCUGUUUCAUCAUCCAAAUCAGAUCUGGAGAGGUUCAGGCCCAGCUCCCGGGUGAUACUGGGGCCACUGGUCCUGAUGGGUCACCAGUCCUGCUGGGUCUCCCUGGGGCUGCCAAAUAGCCAUGGACAAUGUGAACUUCCAGCAUUAUGUUCAUCAAGCUCAGCCUUGGGCGCCCAGCAGCUGCCACCCCAAUCCAACCCAACACAUCCCAUUUAAAGAGUGCUUGAGAAUUGGCUGUUUCCAUGUUUCCACGGAAGCUUUCUUCUUUCCAUUGCACCCAGAACCAAGAAGUGGCUGGAGCUCACUUGGAGGGGAGAUGGCAGCAGCACCCACUCCAAAAUGGGAUCUCUCACCAAUGUCCCAUCCCAGUGUCCCAUGCUGGCCUCAGGUCCCACCCUCUCUACUUGGAAGUUUUCUCUCAAAGCACAAAGUAGCUUGGCUCCCCUCCUCCCAAUAGAAGAACACUCCCUGGCAAUGAGGAGGUCUUUCGGGAUCUUUCCAGCCCUGCGUUUAAUCUGUGCUGUGACUGGGGAUGGAUUUUGGCAUGUCAGGUGCAGCAGGUGCUGUGGCUAUGCCACCCAGCUUGCAAAAACCCACCUGAGCCCCAGCAUGUUCACAGCCACUAAUUGGGUUGUUAUGAGUUCUUGCACCGCUCUCGUGUGAGCAACUCAGAGGGCUCAGCAAGAGCCAUUAAGCAAUUCUUUGAAGUGUAGCUGUUAUUACCUAAAAUGCUAAGCACGAUGUAAUGCUACCAAAUUGUGUAACAUACAACGAGCUGCACGCAGUGCAGACCGUGCUCACUGUUGUACGUGCAGCUGGCACGUGAGAGCACACGGGAGAAGGAGGAGGGAGCUUUCAACCUGUGCCUGGAUAUUUGCAUCCCGUGUGGACCCGAGGAGUUUCCUUAAAGCCCAAAUAGCAGCAAGUGACCCUGACCAAGCUCCGUGCUUACAUCUGCGUGGGGCACUUCCUUGUGUUCCAUCCGAGGAUGCUGCAGGAUGGGGCGAGGUCCCCUACCCUGGGAUGCUGCCAGGAGCAGCCUGGCUCUACCUUGGCUUUCUGUCUCCAUGGCAAUGGCUCUGCGUCAUCCCUUCAGCUCAGCAACCUCAACCGAUGCAAAAUCUGGCCUCAUUUUGGGAUCCCAGGGUGGAAACGAGUGCAGACAGCUCUCCUUAAUGAUGCACGUGGAGGAGGGCACUGGAGCCAGGACAGCCAUCACUUGAACUAUGGAGUUGGGAGGAAGAGCUGAUGUAGGGUUUUGGAGGGGAGAGAAGAGAAAUUUAAUUCCCAGCAGCCAUAGGUGGCCACCAUGGCCACCAUCCACCCCAGGGGUGCUGCCACCCUGUGCCCGUUCCUCUCCUA
ensembl:lncRNA